GACGAACGCUGGCGGCGUGCUUAACACAUGCAAGUCGAACGGAAAGGCCCUGCUUUUGUGGGGUGCUCGAGUGGCGAACGGGUGAGUAACACGUGAGUAACCUGCCCUUGACUUUGGGAUAACUUCAGGAAACUGGGGCUAAUACCGGAUAGGAGCUCCUGCUGCAUGGUGGGGGUUGGAAAGUUUCGGCGGUUGGGGAUGGACUCGCGGCUUAUCAGCUUGUUGGUGGGGUAGUGGCUUACCAAGGCUUUGACGGGUAGCCGGCCUGAGAGGGUGACCGGCCACAUUGGGACUGAGAUACGGCCCAGACUCAUACGGGAGGCAGCAGUGGAGAAUAUUGCACAAUGGGCGGAAGCCUGAUGCAGCAACGCCGCGUGCGGGAUAACGGCCUUCGAGUUGUAAACCGCUUUCGCCUGUGACGAAGCGUGAGUGACGGUAAUGGGUAAAGAAGCACCGGCUAACUACGUG
rnacentral:rRNA from 1 species